ensembl:snRNA U6 U6 spliceosomal RNA
GUGCUCACUUCAGCAGCACAUUUACUAAACAAUACAGAGAAGAUUAGCAUGGCCCCUGCGCAAGGAGGACACACAAAUUCGUGAAGCGUUCCAAAACAAA